GGGGGGCUGGCGCAACGGUAGCGUAUCAGAUUCCAAAUCUGGUGGUUGUCGGUUCGAAUCCGGCGUCCCUCA